rnacentral:rRNA from 1 species
AACGAACGCUGGCGGCAUGCCUAACACAUGCAAGUCGAACGAGACCUUCGGGUCUAGUGGCGCACGGGUGCUUAACGCGUGGUAACCUGCCCUUAGGUUCGGAAUAACUCCCCGAAAGGGGUGCUAAUACCGGUUAAUGUCUUCGGACCAAAGAUUUAUCGCCUUUGGAUGGGCGCGGGUUGGAUUAGCUGGUUGGUAGGGUAAUAGCCUACCAAGGGGACGAUGCAUAGCUGGUGUGAGAGGAUGAUCAGCCGCACUGGGACUGAGACACGGCCCAGAAUCCUACGGGAGGGAGGAGUGGGGAAUAUUGGGCGAUGGGCGAAAGCCUGAUCAAGCAAUGCCGCGUGAGUGAUGAAGGCCUUAGGGUUGUAAAGCUCUUUUACACGGGAUGAUAAUGACAGUACCGGGAGAAUAAGCUCCGGCUAACUCCGUG